GUCUCUCAGACGCUACCGAACGCCGGUACGGUGCUGCUGUACGGUUUGCGCUCUUCAUUCAUUAUUCGCCGUCCACCUUUGCUAAUAGAGAAAGAAGGAGAUACACGGAGUAGUCCUCGCGAUUGUCCUCGCGAUUGUCCUCGCGAUUGUCCUCGCGAUUGUCCUCGCGAUUGUCCUCGCGACUGUCCCUUUUAUUUCUUUUUUUUUUUUAUUCUUUCUAUCGUUACCGAUACAACUGACGUUUCUUACAACUGUCACACACGUGGGGAUUAUAGAAAAAAGGAGAAAGGCUCUCUUCGUUUCGUCGUCAUGAGUUAUUGAAGAAAGCUUUCAGAGAAAGGAAUAGGUAGAUAGAUAGAUAGAUAGACAGAUAAGAGAUCGAGGAAUACUCUUUGGCUCUCGCCAAGAUGAAGAAGAACCGUGUUUUAUUAAGGAGUGCGUUGCUCUUCCUGCUGAUUGCCGCUGAUUUUCUACUCGUUGCUGCAUCCGAGAACGACGACUUGGUCUUUGAUCAAGAUGGUAAACAAUCAAGCCUGCAAAUUCCCUUGAUCGAGAAACACGAGGAGCAGUCGAUUUUUCACAGAAUAAAGAGAGCGAUUAGUAAUUUUUUCGAUUCUUCUACUACUACUCCUCCUAAUACUCCUAGUCCUUCUUCUUCCGGCAGUAGCGGCAACGCAUCUACUAAUAGCACUACUAAGACAUUGCCGACAGGAGAUAUCGAGAACAAUGAAGAGAAUAAGGGGAAUAAGGGUGUUUGGCCUGCCGACAAUUUCAACGAUAGCGACGUUUUCAACGCGCAAAAGAGCAACAACGAUCGACAUUUGGAGAGACUCAUUCGAGACAGCCAAGAGGAGUACGUCGACGAUAAGCAGGAGAACGAGAUUGGCGACGCGGCGGAGGGUCUUAGGGCUCCUCCACAGAAUUACGUAAAUUCCGACGACGAAGACCUCGUGGGAUCUGGAGAGAUCGAGGGUAGCGCCACGGAUUCGUACUAUUCUCCACCUGUCACGGGAAUCCCAAGAUCCGACGGAAAAGCCCGAUUUUACCGAAUUACCUUGACGGUUAACGAGCCAUACAGAAAGGAGUACGCCGAUAGAAACAGCAGAGAGUACAAGGAGCUAAGCGGUAAUUUAACACAACCUUUGGAAGAACUAUACGCUCGUCGUAUUCCCAAUUACGAUUUUAUGGCCAACGUCAUUAAAAUAUCACCAACGUCCGACACGUUUACGUCUCAAGUCACCCUCGACAUAGGCUCUACGUUUACGGACGAGUUGGAGGUACGGGAUAUCUUGGAAAAACAGUUGCAGUAUCAUUCUUUGGGAAGCAUCCAAGUCGGUCCGGAGGGAUUCACCUUCCGACGUUUCUUAGGGAAGGAAAGAGUAUUGCCGGAAUGCGACCAAUCGACCGAAUUAACGUGUAGAAACGGCAAAUGCGUGUCGUUAGAUUCGCGGUGCGACGGUGUCGAUCAAUGCCAGGAUGGAUCGGACGAGCUCGGUUGUCCUUCCAACGUCUCGACCCCGACUACGAAGCACGUUGUCGACGUUGUAGACGUUAGCGAAGAAGCAGAAUGGUCCUCGACUACGGAGAUUACGUCGGGAUUUGAGAAUCGGUUCCCAAUUGGGGAAGAAGAGGAGGAGGAGGAGGAGGAGGAGGAGGAAGAGGAAGAGGAAGAGGAAACAACGUUGAGAGGAGUCUCGAACAAAUGUCGUGCCGACGACGUCGUGCGCUGUCAGGACGGAAGCCGAUCCAUUUGUUCGGUACAAAGAUGCGACGGAGUACCGGAUUGCGAGGACGGAGCCGACGAAGUCGGAUGUCCACAUCCAGGUUGCAAGUUUGGCGAAUUCGCUUGCGACGUGCGGAGGUGCAUUUUGGAAUCUCAACGUUGCAACUUUGUUGAGGAUUGUCAAGACGGAAGCGACGAACACAAUUGCAAUUACCCCGCUUGUACUCCGAGCCAGUUCAAAUGCAAGAACGAAGAGUGCAUCGACGGAAGCAAACAUUGCGACGGAAUUCCGGAUUGUCGAGACAGAUCGGACGAGUACGAUUGUCCAUGCAAAGAAGACCAAUUUGAGUGCUCGGCCGGUUACUGCGUGGCCUUAUCUCGUCGAUGCGACGGAUUCGCCGAUUGUUCCAACGGAAAGGACGAACAGAAUUGUAUCCAUAAGACAAGAUGCCGAGAGGACGAAUUCGAAUGCGACAACGGUAGGAGGUGCGUUAGCAACAUGGCAAGAUGUAAUGGACGCAUAGACUGCGACGAUCGUACCGACGAAUAUAAUUGCACCGUGACGACUUGUAGCAGCGAUCAAUUCCGUUGCACCGACGGUACCUGUUUGAGCAUCGACAAAAGAUGCAACGGCAUGGACGAUUGUCGCAACGGCGAGGACGAAAAUCAAUGCGGUUGCAGAGAUGCGGAAUUUCGGUGCACGGACGGCCGAUGUAUAGGCUACGAGUUGCAGUGCAACGGGCUGAACGACUGUUCCGAUGGCUCAGAUGAGAGGGAUUGCGGUUUGGCCCCCUGCCCUUCCACGGACUUCACCUGCGGCGAUGGUUCUUGCAUACCGAAGAAUACGGUCUGCGACGGAUUCGACGACUGCCCGAGGGCAGAAGACGAGCUUAAUUGCGACCAGGAAUGUACGCCAACGCAGUUCAAAUGUCUCAGCGAGAACAAGUGCAUCGAGGGUAUCUACAGAUGCGACGGCCAUCCGGAUUGUCCAGAUCGCAGCGACGAGGACUGUGCUAACGAUACGAUUAAACAUACCAGCCUGCCUACGAAAUGCUUGGUUGGCAUGCGACCUUGCGACAACGGCGUUUGCAUCGACGAGAGAUUUUUCUGCGAUGGCAAUGUCGACUGUCUGGAUCAUAGCGAUGAACGCGAUUGCCCAACCACUGAAGCGACCAAUCAAGGAGGUUCUUCGAGGGAGGAAUGUCGCCACGAGGAAUUCACUUGCAACGAUGGAACUUGCAUACCUCGAGAUUACGUUUGCAACGGUCGACAGGAUUGUCGAGAGGGUGAGGACGAACGCAACUGUCCCUCUGAAGGAUGCGGACAAGAUCAAUUCCAAUGCAGAACCGGCGAUUGCAUUAGAAUCGACCAAAAGUGUGACAGACGUAUCGAUUGCGAAGACGGCUCGGACGAACCUGCCGAAUGUGAGACAACGCUCGAACCAGGACCGGGUGGUCAUCCUAUGCCAGGUCGUUGCCCUGCUGGUCAAUUCCAAUGCGUUCUAGACAGGGCCUGCGUUCCCAUCUCUUCCGUUUGCAACGGCAUUCCUGAAUGCAGAGAUGCCACCGACGAAGACAAUUGCGAUUACACCGAGGACUGUUCGUCGGACGAGUGGACAUGCGAGAAUGGUGGUUGCAUUUAUCUCUACCAACGUUGUAACCAAUUCGGCGAUUGUCCGUUCGACGAUAGCGACGAGAUUGGCUGCAAUUAUACGCUUACCGAGAAAAAUAAGACUAGAUGCGAGCCACACGAGUGGAAAUGCAAGAAUGGCCAGUGUAUACCGUUGUCUCGACGAUGCGACAAAAGGUUCGACUGUCCUACGGACAUGUCCGACGAAUACGACUGCAGUUACGAUUUGCGUCAAACCGGUGGAUCGAGCGGUCUCAACUUGAAAACUUAUCCGAGCGAGCAAGUGAUCAAAGAGAACCCGGCGAAGCAAGGCCGCGAGGUCGUCUUCCAAUGCCGUGACGAAGGUCCUCUGCGUGCAAGAGUACACUGGCUUCGUGAUAAUAAUCUUCCUCUGCCGCCUGCCAGUCGAGAUCUAAAUGGUAGAUUGGAAAUACCAAACAUUCAGCUCGAUCAUGCGGGAAUUUACAUUUGCGAAGCGGUGGGCUAUCCUCCAUCCACGCCAGGAAGUCGACUUACCGUAAAUCUCACUGUUGAAAAGUUCGAAGAACCCGCGACGAGGCCCCCACAAGUUUGUCAAUACGAUCAGGCAACUUGCAUCAAUGGAGAUUGCAUUCCUAAAUCGUACGUCUGCGAUGGAAAAUUCGACUGUACGGAUGGCUCUGACGAGAUGAGAUGCAGUCCACACGGAUGUGAACCCAACCAAUUUCGAUGUAACAACAAGCAAUGCGUGAGCAAACUUUGGCGUUGUGACGGCGAAAGAGAUUGUGCCGAUAACAGCGACGAAGAAAAUUGUGCACCGGCUCUACCUGGUUCGCGAUGCCGUUAUCACGAAUUCUCUUGUACAUCCUACGACCAAUGUAUACCAAAGAUUUAUCAUUGCGACAGAGAACGGGAUUGUCUCGAUGGUAGUGACGAGCUUGGCUGUUCUCCCGUCUACAUCAUCAAACCACCGCCGCCGAUGGUAGUCCUAGAACCAGGUAGCACCAUGGUACUCACGUGUACGGCUAUCGGUGUACCCAUUCCAGAGAUAAAUUGGCGACUAAAUUGGGGACACGUACACUCUAAAUGUACAACUACUUCCGUAAACGGAACCGGAACAUUAACGUGUCCCGACAUACAACGAGAAGACUCAGGUGCUUACUCCUGCGAAGCUUUGAAUUCAGCUGGCUUUGUAAUAGCUCAACCGGAUGCUAUGUUAGUGGUAAAAGAACCAAAAGGCAUUUGUCCCAAAGGAAUGUUCAACAAUGAGGCGCGUUCCCUCGAUGAAUGCAUAUCUUGCUUCUGCUUCGGUGUGGCUACCGAAUGUCGUAGCGCCAAUUUGUUCACUUAUCAGAUCCCACCUCCGUUCGAAAGUCACAAGAUCUUGUCGAUUCAAACCGAAUCGGAGAUACGCAUUUUCGGCGACAUCAAAGAUGAAAUAUCCGAGGUUAGACCUAUUGGACGAGACGGUAUUCGAUUGUUUGAAUCGUUGAGCAGCGAAAUGUCUAGCUACAAAAUACCCUACUAUGCCUUAUCCGAGAAUUAUCACGGUAGUCAAUUAAAGUCUUACGGUGGUUAUUUGACUUAUACGAUUAAUUACAAUGGUAACGGAGCACCUAACGACGCGCCAUCGGUCAUUCUUAGCGGUAACAAAUACAUACUCGUCCACAAAGGCAAACAUAUCCCUCCAGACUACGAGACGAAAGAAUCCGUCAGAUUUUUCUACGGCGAGUGGUACAAGCGUCAAGGUAGCAGCGAGGUCCUGGCAUCCAGAGAAGAAAUAAUGAUGACCCUGGCAAACGUCGACAAUAUUCUUAUCAAAGCAAAGUAUGAAAAUUCUCCACAAUUGGACGUGCGUAUAACCAACAUUGUUAUGGACACCGCCGAUGCGCGCAAUACCGGAUUAGGAUCCGCUAAUUAUGUGGAAGAGUGUCAAUGUCCUACCGGAUACACCGGUCUUUCGUGCGAGAACUGUGCAUCGGGAUAUCUUCGACGCGAGAGCGGACCAUGGCUUGGACAAUGUUACCGAGACGAGCCACCUUGCGCACCGGGAUACUACGGAGAUCCUUCGAGAAAUAUACCUUGCCAACUUUGUCCAUGUCCGCUCACCAAUCCAUCCAAUCAAUUUACUCGAAACUGUCAUCUCGGAUCGGACGGUGAGCCUACCUGCGAUUGUCCAGCCGGAUACGUUGGUCGAAGAUGCGAACAAUGUGCUAUUGGCUAUGAAGGAAAUCCUCUCAUUCCUGGAGAUAUGUGCGUACCCGUUGAACAAUGCGAUCCCGACGGUAGCAUCAGUCCUAACGCCGAUCCGUAUACUGGAAAAUGUCGUUGCAAGCAAUACGCAACGGGUCUAACGUGCGAUCAAUGCAAGGCAAAUACAUUCAGUUUGGGCUCUAGGAAUCAAUUCGGAUGCAUUAGUUGUUUCUGCAUGGGUAUUACGAAUAAAUGUGUAGCAUCUAACUGGUACAGAAACGAGAUUCACGUGUCAUUUACUAAUUCCCUACGAGGAUUUAGUCUUAUCGAAUCUAAGACUACAACCGACGCCCCACCAAUAGUAGAUGGUAUUCGACUUGAUACGAUCAGUCGCGAGAUAGUCUACAACGAUUUUCAUAAUCGUGGUAACAAUGACGUAUAUUAUUGGCAAUUACCAAAUAUUUUCCUCGGCGAUCAAAUAACGUCGUACGGUGGUAAUCUUAAAUAUACCGUUCGGUACGUUCCAUCUCCGGGUGGUCAAAGUUCCAAAAACAACGCUGCCGACGUUGAAUUAAUUAGCGCAAACGACAUUAAAUUGCUGUACUAUUCGAGAAAAUCCCCCGAACCAAAUUCCCAACAAUCGUUUACCGUUCCGUUGCUCGAACAAUACUGGCAACGUGCCGACGGAACAACAGCCGACAGGGAACAUCUUUUAAUGGCAUUAGCGGACGUACGAGCAAUCAAAAUUAAAGCAACUUAUACGACCCACACCGACGAGGCGGCACUUUCUUCGGUUUCCCUUGAUACGGCGGAAAAUCAUAAUACUGGAAAGGCAAGAGCCGUCGAAGUCGAGGAGUGCAGUUGUCCCACUGGAUACAAGGGACUCUCUUGCGAAGAUUGUGAUGUUGGAUAUACGAGAGCAAUGGAAGGUUUAUAUCUUGGAAUUUGCGAGCCUUGUAAUUGCAACGGACACUCGAAUCAGUGCGAUCCCGAAACCGGAAUGUGCGAGAAUUGCGCCCACCAUACUACCGGAGAAUUUUGCGAAAAAUGCGAACCUGGAUACAGAGGAGACGCGACUCGUGGCACUUCGAACGAUUGCGAGCGCGAGGAUCAGACAGCAUCGUGCCAGUGCAAUCCAGCUGGAUCUCGUAGCACCUUGUGUUACGGUAAUCGUUGCGAAUGUAAGAGAAACGUCGAAGGUCCGGAAUGCAACAGAUGUCUUCCGGGUACUUUUGGAUUGUCCGCCGAAAAUAUAGACGGCUGUAACGAAUGUUAUUGCAGCGGCGUGACCAAACAAUGUCACGAAAGUUCCCUCUACGUUCAGCAAAUACCAAUAGGGGUUUACGAUUCCCGUCAUGGAUUUACCCUUACCGAUGCCUCUAGGCAAGAAGUUAUAAACGAUGGUUUUGAUUUAAACGUUGCCAUGAACGAAAUUGGAUAUCGUUAUCCCGAUAAUCGUAGCCGUAGACUAUUUUGGUCUUUGCCGUCCACUUUCACCGGAAACCAAGUCAAAAGCUAUGGGGGUUAUUUAACUUUGACUCAGCAUAUCAGUGCACAACCCGGGGCGGAGAGUUAUAAAGAUCAAGACGUUUUACUCAUCGGAAAUGGUAUUACGUUGUUUUGGAUUAAUCCAACCGAUGUUUUACCGGAUUUACCUUUGACUUACUCGGUUCCACUGAGAGAAUCAGAAUGGAAACGGUUGACAACCGCAGGUCCACGUAGCGCGUCUCGUACGGACAUGAUGACGGUUCUUUCCAAUGUCGAAGCUAUUCUAGUACGAGCUUCUCAUAGCGAUAGAAUGACGGCAACAUACAUAAGCGAUAUUAGUCUCGAUACAGCGGUAGAAAAUUUCAAUGGACACAAAAGAGCGAGCCAAGUCGAAGCGUGUCGUUGUCCGCCUGGUUACCUUGGUACAUCUUGCGAAAUUUGUGCUCGCGGAUAUUAUAGAGAUACCAGUGAUAGAGCUGUCAGCGUUCUUGGCUCUUGCAAUCUCUGUCCGUGCAAUAAAAGGGAAGAAAGUUGCGAAAUUAAUAGGUCUGGAUAUGUCAAGUGUAAUUGCAUGUUAGGAUAUACGGGAGAAAAUUGUCAAGAUGUUGUCGAGUCUCCUCCGACGACUCCUCAGACAAUACCAACGAUUACACCACCAAGAAUCGUCGUUUUCGUGCAAGAGCCAGAAUUCCAAAUUGUUCAUACUGGAAAUACCAUUAGAUAUCAUUGUAGCGGUAAAUCGCUCGACAACGAUUCCUUGCGUAUUCGUUGGGAAAAAGAGGGUGGUCAGUUACCGUCUGACAGAAGCGUAGACGAUUAUCACGGAGUUUUAAUCAUUAGAGAUGUCAAAGUGUCCGACAGCGGUGUAUACGUUUGUCAAGUUAGCGACGGAACAAAUAUUGGCAUUAAAAAAGUUACUCUUACUGUGGGAGCUUUUCCAAAAAGUUUGUUAGAAAUACCAGGAGCAAAUCCGGUAAAACCUCAAGUCGUCAUUAUACCACCUUACCUCGAAGUUAAAGAAGGAGAACCGGUAGAAUUCCAUUGCGAGGCUAGUGGUAAUCCUCCUCCGCAAGUAGAAUGGAUUCGACUUCAUGGAAGUAUAAGCUCUGAGUCUUCGUUCCGUAAUGGAGUUUGGAGGCUUCCAGCUGCUUCGAGGAAUGACGCGGCCGAAUAUAAAUGCAUCGCUAGAAACAAUGUCGGAAUAAUGGAACAAAAUACGAUACUUUACGUUAGAGAGAAUCCGGAAGGGCCUCCGGCUACUGGUUUGGCACCUAUUAUAACGCCCACCGAAUGGAUUGGUUCUAUCGGAGAUGUCAUUAGACUAACUUGUACUCCAUCACAGAAUGCUAAUCUAACGUGGAUCCGAUCCGAUUUCUUACCUCUCCCUUACUCGGCGAGUCAGCGCGACGGUAUUCUGACGAUCAAUAAUCCAACGGUUAGCGAUUCCGGUAUAUAUGUCUGUAUCGCUAUCAGUUACAAAGGAACGGUAACUAAUUCUACCGCUAGAAUAACGAUCAUUCCACGAAGAGAUCCGCCGUCGGUUAAAGUCAAGCCCGAGAGACAAACAAUCUCCCAAGGAACGUCGACCGAAAUACGUUGCGUUACGAGCGGAGAACCGGGUCUACGUGUGAAAUGGAACAAAUUUUCCGAACCGAUGAAUCCGCACGUUCAACAAGUCGGUGAUACCCUUCGAAUUAUCAACGCUCAAGUUUCCGAUCGAGGCGUUUAUAUUUGUCGAGUCAGUAGUCCCAUAGGCAGCUACGAAGCUAGCGCUAUCGUCGAAGUUGAACCUCGUGAAACUCCAGUUCUAGAACUAUAUCCUAAAGAUAUUCAACCCGUCACGCUCGGUGGCUCUGCCGAUUUACAAUGUCGCGCCAUUGCUGGUCUUCCGCUUCCCGAAAUCCGUUGGUCUCGUCAAGACGGUAGAUCAUUUCCUCCAAAUAUCGAACAACUUCCUGGUGGAUUGUUAAGGUUUUCUAACAUUACGAUCAACGAUGGCGGUUCUUACGUGUGCUCGGCCACGAAUGAAGUUGGUUCGACGUCUGCAGUAGCUCAUAUCGAAGUACAAUCCAUACCCGUUAUUACGAUUGAACCAAGGUCCGGUAUUUUGCAAGUCAAACUCGGAGAUAAAGUGCGAUUAACUUGCAGCGCUAUGGGCCAUCCACAACCAAAUGUUGCCUGGAGUAAACACGUCAACGGAUUGGCCACGUACGACGCGUACAGCAGAACUGAUCUUACCCCGUUGAGCGCGGUAUACGAAAUUUUAUCCGUUUCUACCGACGACGAAGGAUCUUACUCUUGUCAAGCGUCCAAUUCGGUUGGCAUUGUCGAGGAUCGUGUUCAAAUACGCAUCGAGGACAACGAAAUUGAUUCUAUCCCUUGUAGAGGCGAUAUGCCAUGCAAUACUGGUCAAGCAAAUAACGAUAACAGAUAUCCCAAUGGCGUAUUAAUUCCUGAAGAUUUUCUAAGAAUUCCCAAUGGCGGUAAAGUAGAAAUGCGUUGUCAAGUAAGGGCACCCGACGGCGAUCAAAUUUAUCUUGACUGGAAGAGAAGCGAUCAUCGUGCCUUGCCAAAGGGUAGUACCGUUCAUAAUGGCGUUUUAAAUAUACCGGUGGUCGACAAGUAUUCCGCAGGAGAAUACAUCUGUCUUGGUUUAAAUCCCGCUGGCACGGUCAUUUUCAAAGCUAAAUCUCAUCUUGAAAUAAUAUCUCCGCCUAGAAUCGAGCUAAAUCCAACUCGUCAAACCGUUGGUCCUGGAAAAAAUCCUUCUAUAACUUGUACCGCUACCGGAGACCAACCUCUUAACAUUCAAUGGGAAGCUAUAGGACGACCACUUCCACCUUCCGUGUCUCAUGAUAACGGGGUCUUGAAAUUCCACGGUAUAACGUAUUCGGAUGCAGGCAAGUAUGUUUGCAAGGCCACGAAUGAAGCAGGCACGGCUGAAGCGGUUGCGGAAGUUAUAGUAAACGAACAUUCUUACGACGACACAAGUAUUCGUGCCGCGCAAAGAGACAUUACGACCUAUUCAGGUAAUUCUGUACGUUUGCGUUGCGACAUCAGAGAAAGUGCUGUAAUAGAAUGGACCAGAGAAGGACAAUUAUUGCCUUCGCACAGUCGAAUUGGUGAAAAUUAUUUAGAAUUAAUGCAAGUCAGACCGGAAGACAGUGGAAGAUAUAUUUGUCAAAUUCGUAAUUCUCAUGGAGUUUCCAGCGAUUACAUUAAUUUAAAUGUUCAACUAGUUAAUUUGCUUGCGGAUUGCAUGCCAGUAUACCAAACGCAGUGCAGACCCGGGGAGUAUCAGUGCUACAACAUUCAACAAUGCAUUCCUUUGGAUUACUUUUGCGACGGCUAUGCUCAAUGCAACGACGGUACUGACGAAAGCUUCUGCCGCAUCCCGCAAUAUCGCCAAUAUCUUCGAAGACUACGCGCAACUGUUACACCUGCGCUUAGCAUCGAAGCAUCUCAAGAUCCUGUAAAUAUUGGAGAUACAGUCGACAUACGUUGCGCGUGCUCGGGUACUUCUAAUCCACAAUAUAGAUGGUCCAGACCAAAUCAUUCAGAUUUACCAGCGAAUGCACAAGCAUAUGGAAAUAUUCUUAGAUUAUUGAAUGUAGCUGUUGACAAUAGUGGCAUUUACAAAUGUACAGUAAUGACUCCACAAGGCAUCUUUGAGGAAGACUUUAAUCUCAUUGUACACGGUGGAAAUAACGAUGGGCCAGCAAUGGAAACUAAGUCAGCACCUUAUGGAUCUAGUAUCGAAAUGGAUUGCCAUGUUCAAUUUGAUCCGCCUAUUACAUACAGAUGGAACAAACUUGGUGGAUUUUUAUCUGAGAAUGCACAAACUUAUCAGAACAAAUUAAAACUGGCAAAUGUUAAAGCCGAAGAUGCAGGAACAUACAUUUGUAUAGCAAACAACUAUGUAGAAAAAAUAGAAGUACCGACUGUGCUCGUUGUAACGGGAGUAGUACCAAACUUUAGUCAAGCACCAGAAAGUUAUAUAACUUUGCCUCCAUUAUCCAAUUCGUAUCUCAAUUUCAAUAUUGAAAUAUCUUUCAAACCAGAAAAUUAUGACGGCAUUAUUCUAUACAAUGCUGAAUUAAAUAACGGUAGCGGUGAUUUCAUUGUUCUAUCCCUAGUAGGAGGAUUGCCACAAUUCAAAUUUGACUUUGGUUCUGGAUCGGCUGUUAUAACGGGAGAUACGCCAAUUAAUCUGGGUCAAUGGCAUACGAUCAAAAUUCAACGCUUUAGAAGAGAAGUAACGAUGUUAGUCGAUGGUCAGGGACCUUACAGAGGGGUUUCGAGCGGUCGGAAACAAGGAUUAGAUCUUAAAGCACCGCUUUAUAUCGGUGGAGUUCCAAAGUACAAUAUCGACGUCAAAGAUGGCAUUAAUAACAUUGGAUUUAUUGGUUGUAUCAGUAGAUUGGUACUCAAUGAAAGGCAAGUAGAUUUGAUCGAAAAUCAAACGAGUAACGUUGGAAUAACGACUUGCGAAACAUGCGUCGAAAAUCCAUGUAAUAAUGGUGGAGCUUGCCAGGAGGCAGCUACAAAGAAUGGUUACAUGUGUCUAUGCAGAGCUGGAUUUACUGGUAAACACUGUGAUUUUGUUGGACAAACUUGUUAUCCAGGUGCCUGCGGUGAAGGAAAGUGUAUAGAGAAGGAGACUGGUUUCGAUUGUUACUGCCCACGUGGAAAAAUUGGUCCACGUUGCGAACGAUCGGUGAAAAUAAAUCAACCAGCUUUUAACGAUGACAAAGCUUUCAUGGCAUACGAUACACCGCCAAAAUCUCUUCGAAGGCUUAAAAUAUCUAUGAACUUCAAUCCUAUCGACGAAGGAGAUGGGAUCUUGAUGUAUUGUUCCCAAAGCGAAGAAGGAGUUGGAGAUUUUGCAGCGCUUAUAAUAAAAAACAAGCACGUUGAAUUUUGCUUCGAAAUGGGCUCGGGUGUGGCUACGUUAAGAUCUAAUUACAUCGUACAGCCUGGAACAUGGACAUACGUUACGAUAAAUAGAGACUUCAAAGAAGCCAAAUUAUCCGUUAAUGGAGAACCAUUUAUCGAGGCAAGAUCUCCUGGUAUCGCACGUAUCAUGCAACUGACUACACCCUUAUACAUUGGUGGCAUUGAUCGUAGAAAAAUAACAUUGAAUAAAAAUCUUACUGUUGAUCGUAGUUUUCGUGGAUGCAUUAGCGAACUUGAAGUAGCUUCCGUUAGCCUGGAGAUUGUAAAAUCGACGCUGGAUAUGGCAAAUAUCGAAGAUUGCUCUACGCUGCAUCCGAAUCAAACGAUUCCACGUACUAAGCUCGUUACCCCUCCACCCACAACAAAUCCGCCGACAACUUUGUACGAUUCGUGCACAUCGAAUCCUUGCAUACACGGGUUUUGUCAGAGUUUAGGUUCAAGCGAAUAUUCCUGUACGUGCGAGUAUGGAUAUGCAGGAAGAAAUUGCGAAAAUGUAUUGAAACAGUGCGAGGUAUAUACGCCUUGUAGAAACGGUGGUACUUGCACCGAUCUACCUGGAUCUUACAAAUGCGACUGUAGGCUUGGCUUUAAUGGCCAAACUUGUGAAAAAUUGGCAGAGAUCACUUAUGACAUCGCGUUUAAAGGAGAUGGCUGGUUAGAAUUGGACAGAUCGGUAAUGACGCACGAAGAAGAACGCGAAGUCUUGGGUUUCGAGAUAUCGACGAAUAAAACUAAUGGUUUAAUCAUGUGGCAUGGGCAAACGCCAAAUGAUUUAAAUCCCGAUGACUAUAUAUCUUUGGCAGUUGUCGAUGGCUAUGUAGAAUAUCAAUAUAAUUUAGGAUCAGGGCCAGCAGUUAUUCGCGUAACGGCUCAAAGAGUCGACGACGGGGAAAGACAUAGAAUCAUUUUAAAAAGACAAGGUAGCGAUGGUAGCAUCGAAUUAAACGGCGAGCACACGGAAAGCGGACUGAGCGAGGGAUUACAACAAAUUUUGAAUACCAGAGGCAGCGUAUAUUUAGGAGGUGUACCUGAUUAUGCAAUGACGUAUGGACGUUACCACGAAGGAUUUUCCGGUUGUAUUUACACUCUGGAAGUACAAGAUUCGGGAGCCAUCGAUAUAGGAGAAAAAGCUAUUAGAGGAAAAAACGUUUCUCCGUGCACCAGAGUGAGAUGGAUUCCAUCUUCGUUGGUAUUUACGGACGCAGAUGCAGAUAUUUUUGACGCAUUUGUACCCCCACCUCCUGUAAAUAUUAUUCAUCCUAAACCUGCUGCAAAUGUAGCCACACGUAAUAUUACAAAUUAUUUACUAUUGAUCGUGUUACAACACCUGAUUGCGAUGAAACUAGAAAGUAGAAAUGUCAUCGUUAUUCAUACACUUUUUUACGUAGGUGCUAUUAAUAUAGCGAAAAAUUCGUUAAUUUAAGUAGGCAAAUACAUUUGAAUUUAUACAAUUUAUACGGUAUACUUAUAUUCCAAGUUUGUACUAAUGCAUAAAUGCUUGUAAUAUUUGUAUUUCCGUCAUUUUCAAAGAAAUGUGUCGAUAAUUAAUAAAUUUAUUAAUUAUUUAAUGCUUUAUCAACGCAAUCUGGAUAAAUCUGACCAAAGCAUGUGAUCCAGUUGACAACAUUUCUAUGCAUGGUGAUCUGCUAAGAAGACAUUAAGAGAUCUCUUCUCAUAUGAUACGAUCCUAUCUCAUUUUCCACCAAAAUUUAUCAAAUGUUUUAACGUUCUUUAUACUACACUCCGUUUGGCAAAAAAAAAACUAUAAACUCGUUUACCA
rnacentral:misc_RNA from 1 species